GGUCCACAACCAUUUUAUCCAUUAAAAAAUUAAUAUCAUAUUUAUUUGAAAGGGUAUACAAUUAGACAAUUCGCAUUUGAUACAAGGAGAUUACAAAUCAUUAUUGACCGUUAAAUGUAAACUCAGGUACAUGGGAUGUAUCAUUGAUUGGCCAAUGAGCCCAAAACAAAAUUUCUCAAAUAUUCUAACAGACUUCAAUCUGGAGGAUUUCGGAUAAGAAUAAUUGUAAACUCCUUGUAUGAAAAAGAGAACAGCUUUAUAAGAUACAAUCAUUUGCUAUGUUGGAACCAAUGUUUCGAAAAACGGAUUGAUGAUCUUCCAUAUUAGCGGAUCGGCCAGAUUCAACCUUAAAACAUUUUUAAAAAAUCACAAAAUAUCCUUUAAAAUUUAGCUUUUUAGGUUUUUUUUAAAAAAGGUUAUUGUAUUGAUUAUUUUACUUUAAUACAAUAACCUUUUUUUAGAAAGAAUCCUAAAAAUAUGUAUAUAACGAAAAUGUUUCUCAACCCUAAGUUUUUGUUGUCCAUUACAUUCAUUUUAUGGUCAAAUAAUGAAN
rnacentral:lncRNA from 1 species